GGAGUGAGGGGUCUCUGGCGCCCUGGGAUGGAGCCCCGGCUCUGCCUCUGACGAGCCGAGGGGACCUGGGCCCCAGAGAGGCUGGCGGGGUGUGGGGCUCCCUGUGCCCCGUGCCUCAGCCUCACCUGCCACCUGAGCUCUGACAGGCGGUGCUUCCUUGUUCUCAGCAGGAGACGACGGGCAAACGUGCGCGUGUCCUGGGCCUCCCAGGCCAACCCCGUAGGCCCCGUGGCUUCAACCCUUGAGAUACAAAGGUCCCUCCCGGGUCUAGCUGGCUUUCCUGCUGGGGAGGGCAGAGUGCGACCCUGUCCGCCGCCCGUGUCCUCCAGCCGGGCUGGGGCGUCUGUGGGAGAUGCCGCAUCUUGGGGAUCUCUGCAGAAGGCCACUUUCUCCUCUGUCCCUGCGUGGAGGACCAUUCCUUUGUUCACCCACCCACCCAGUUACCGAACCAACAAUGUGGAUCCUGGAGAAAGAACUGUGGAGGAACCAGACGUGAAGGGAAGGAAGAGGAGGUGAGAACCAGAAACAAAUGACAGAAGAAUCCCAGCUGGGAUCACUGCAGCGGGGAAGACGAACAGGCGUGGCGAUAGAAAGUCACGUGGUGGGAGCGGACAGGGCGUCCCCCAGACUCGGUAACGGCCUCUGGAAGCGUCACCGUCCUCCUUCCUGGGUCCCGACGCCGUGGGACCUUCCAUGGCAGAAGGGACUCCGCAGAUGUGAUGAGGCAGCAAGAGGAAACUCACGCCGAAAGCUGGGUAGGCCUGUCGAUGGAGGGCAGGCUGGAGACCUGCCAGGGGGAAGGGGCCGGAGCCAGGUACGCAGAGCCCUCGGGAGAGCAUUCCGGGACAGAUGACAGCAGCAGCAGCAGGGGCAAAGGCCCUGGGGUGGGGGACAUCUGUCUCUCUACGUUCAGCAGAGGACUGGGCAUGUGCAUUAGGACCCAGACGAGGUUCACGGGUGGAUGCGCUUCUUGUCCCUCAUUUCAGUCUGUGGGUUCUCCUGCUGGUUCCCUGCCUUCCUCAACACCCCCCUCCCUCCCCUGCUGGAUCAGAAAACAGACGCGGCACGCUAUUAG